AUUGAACGCUGGCGGCAUGCCUAACACAUGCAAGUCGAACGGUUUUGGAGCUUGCUCCAAGAUAGUGGCGGACGGGUGAGUAACGCGUAGGAAUCUACCUUAUAGAGGGGGACAACCCGGGGAAACGCGGGCUAAUACCGCAUAAUCUCUACGGAGCAAAGCGGGGGACCGUAAGGCCUCACGCUAAAAGAUGAGCCUAUGUUGGAUUAGCUAGUUGGUAGGUUAAAGGCCUACCAAGGCAACGAUCCAUAGCUGGUCUGAGAGGAUGAUCAGCCACACUGGGACUGAGACACGGCCCAGACUCCUACGGGAGGCAGCAGUGGGGAAUAUUGGACAAUGGGCGCAAGCCUGAUCCAGCAACGCCGUGUGUGUGAAGAAGGCCUUCGGGUUGUAAAGCACUUUUAGUUGGGAAGAAAAGCUCAAGACUAAUACCCUUGAGUGAUGACGUUACCAACAGAAAAAGCACUGGCUAACUCUGUGCCAGCAGCCGCGGUAA
rnacentral:rRNA from 1 species